rnacentral:pre_miRNA from 1 species
CUACACGUUUCCAAAUCAUUGCAGAUUUCCAAAGUUACAGCAAUGGCUUGAAAACGGGUGGC